rnacentral:lncRNA from 1 species
GAUAAUCAAAAAUAGUUGUUGCAUUAGGCUACAUGCCAAUAAAGCAUAUUAAGGACUCAAAUAUCAUAUUGAGGUGCACAUUACCCAACAAAGGUCUAUAAAAGUAACAUUGUUCUGACAGCCCUCGACAAUAUUGUCCCACAGUUUGACACCCCGUAGGGCCGUGGGUUUUGUUCUUGGCGGUGUUGGACAACACAACAGGCACUCGCAGGCUACCUUACCAAAAGGCCUCGUCGAGGUGGGUGAUACCACAACAGACUUAUUAAAACAGCCCAGGCUCUCUCCCUAGCUGAUGUGGGAGCAUGACACUCCACCCUCCUAAGGAGACCCAGCGUCCUCGCUGGCACAUCGGGGUCGGGAGUCGGUUUUGAUACCAACUCUGACAGCCCCUCGACAAUAUUGUCCCACAGUUUGACACCCCGUGGCGCCAUGGGUUUUGUUCUUGGCGGUACUGGAUAACACAACAGUUACCCGCAGGCUACCUCACCAAAAGGCCUCAUCGAGAUGGGUGAUACCACAACAGACUUAUCAAAGCAGCCCGGACUCUCUCCCUAGCCGAUGUGGGAGCAUGACAAUUGUGCCCAAAUAUCACAUAUUCAUAAGGUACGUUUACAAAAGGAAUUAAGUUCAAGAAACCAAAGAACAUCUAAGCGAACCCUUGCACGAGCAAAUUGCGACUUUGUCUUCAACGUCCUUUAGUCAUUGCUAUAGAUAGCUCCCAAAAUUUUGUUUAAAUAGCAUUUAUCUGUAAUAAAGUAGUAAAACAAGUAGAUAAGGGGAGGAUUAAAACACUGAAGGAGAAGUAACAAUAGUUAGGUUGCUUAGCUAAAAUAUGCAAUCC